UACGUAGGGUGCAAGCGUUAAUCGGAAUUACUGGGCGUAAAGCGUGCGCAGGCGGCUAUGCAAGACAGAUGUGAAAUCCCCGGGCUCAACCUGGGAACUGCAUUUGUGACUGCAUGGCUAGAGUACGGCAGAGGGGGAUGGAAUUCCGCGUGUAGCAGUGAAAUGCGUAGAUAUGUGGAGGAACACCGAUGGCGAAGGCAGCCCCCUGGGUUAACACUGACGCUCAUGCACGAAAGCGUGGGGAGCAAACAGG
rnacentral:rRNA from 1 species